rnacentral:rRNA from 1 species
CCCUUAGAUGUUCUGGGCCGCACGCGCGCUACACUGAUGCAUUCAACGAGUCUAAAACCUGGUCUGAUAGGGCUGGGUAAUCUUUUGAAAGUGCAUCGUGAUUGGGAUAGAUGAUUGCAAUUCUUCAUCUUUAACGAGGAAUGCCUAGUAAACGCAAGUCAUCAGCUUGCAUUGAUUACGUCCCUGCCCUUUGUACACACCGCCCGUCGCUCCUACCGAUUGAAUGAUCCGAUGAAUACCAUGGAUUGAGAGUACGAAUGGGUUCGCUCAUUUCUGCUGCUCGAGAAGUGGAGUAAAUCUUAUCAUUUAGAGGAAGGAGAAGUCGUAACA